UACGUAGGUGGCGAGCGUUGUCCGGAUUUACUGGGCGUAAAGAGCGCGCAGGCGGUCGUUCAAAGUCGCGUGUGAAAGCCCCCGGCUCAACUGGGAGGGUCACGCGAUACUGAUCGACUCGAAGGCAGGAGAGGGAAGUGGAAUCCCGGUGUAGUGGUGAAAUGCGUAGAUAUUAGGAAGAACACCAGUGCGAAGGCGGCUCACUGGUCCGGUACUGACGCUGAGGUGCGAAAGCGUGGGGAGCAAACAG
rnacentral:rRNA from 1 species